ensembl:snRNA U6 U6 spliceosomal RNA
GUGCUUGCGUUGGCAGCACAUAUACUGAAAUUGGAACGAUAUUAAGAAGAUUAGCAUGGCCCCUGUGCAAGGAUGAUAUGCAAAUUUGUGAAGCGUUUCAUGUUUUU